AUAUCAUGACACCACUCUACAUUAUAACAGGAAUUCUAUCUGAUAAAGAAAAUUCAGUUCACACCGAACAAUUCAAGAUACUUUACACUUGUUAAAGUCCUGAUGAAAAUGAGUGAAUUUCAAUCAAGGCGCUUUGUGUAUUGCUUAUGUAUUUUCUCGAUUUAUUGGCAUUCAUUAAUGGGAGUAAAUGGACUUGAUAGGUCCAUGAGCCGAAAUUUAAAUUUCCUUCCACUCCGGUUUCGGCGGGCCCAGUCAUCUCCAUCCAGCUCCUUCCUGUCUGUGUUAUGGGAUACCUGUGACUUUGACAAUAAUGGCUACUUGGACUACGCCGAGAGACGAUGUCUUCGAAGGUUCUCCAGUGUUGCGUUUGGGUGAUGACGUCAUUUUCCUGGCGGAUGAGAAUGAUUAACAGCCUGCUGUCGAUACAAUUAAUCGUAUCAAUCAAAACAUGGUGCGGUUAAGGAAACACCCGCUCAAUCGUUUAUCUCAAAUCUUGAUUCAAGUAUAUUUUAUCGUAUACAAAAUCAUUUAAUAUUACUUGCUAAAUAAGGGUAUUUUCAAUUUUAAACGUUAAUUGCUAAUUCUACGUUUAUAAGAUUUUCAAAUAUAUUUUUGUGCAUACAAAA